rnacentral:rRNA from 1 species
UGAGUAAGCGAUGCAACUUGCCUAUCAGAGGGGGAUAACCCGGCGAAAGUCGGACUAAUACCGCAUGAAGCAGGGAUCCCGCAUGGGAAUAUUUGCUAAAGAUUCAUCGCUGAUAGAUAGGCAUGCGUUCCAUUAGGCAGUUGGCGGGGUAACGGCCCACCAAACCGACGAUGGAUAGGGGUUCUGAGAGGAAGGUCCCCCACAUUGGUACUGAGACACGGACCAA